rnacentral:lncRNA from 1 species
ACGUACCAUAUCAGAACCGGUGCCGGCUGGUCCAGGAGCAGAAGCGCCCAAGCUAGGGGAAGGAGCUCCGGUGGGAGGAGCGGGCGGGCUUGAUCCCAGAGGCGAAGGAGCGGAAGCCGGAGACUUCACCUUCUUGGACGGAGCCGGAGCUGGGACCGAAGCAGGUGGAGAUGCCAGGGGAGCUGGUGGCGGGGUUGCCGGAGGAGGAGUGGCUGGCGGUGGGGUUGCCGGAGGAGGAGUUGCAGGUGGUGGAGUGGCGACCGGAGGUGGAGUUGAUGGUGGAGGGGAAGCAGGUGGGGGAGUAGCAGCAACCGGCGGAGGUGUGCUGACUGGAGGAGGAGUUGAUGGAGGUGGGGCGGAGACUGGAGGAGGAGAGGCCGCCGGAGGAGGGGAGGAAGUCGGGGGAGGAGUGGUGCUCACCGGAGGAGCGGCGGUCGGGGUGGUGGGAGUGGGUGGAGCCGGGGUGGCGGUAGGAGAAGCAGCCGGAGAUUGAGCGCCGACGCCGGCGAUGACAAUGCAGAUGAGAGAGAGGACGACCAAAGCUGAUGGACUCUUCAUCUUGCGCCGAUCUAGUUUCCUCUCUCUUCUUUCUUUUCUUCUCGUAAAACUACAAACAGAGAAAGAUAGAGAGAGAGAGAGAGAGAGAGAGAGGAGUGAGGGGGGAAAGAGAGUGAGAAAUCAAACGGGAAUAAAUAGUGGUGGAUAAAUUAAGAA